UUCCCAUCGUGGCUCAGUGGUUAACGAAUCCGACUAGGAACCAUGAGGUUUCGGGUACGAUCCCUGGCCUUGCUCAGGGGGUUAAGGAUCCGGUGUUGCCGUGAGCUGUGGUGUAGCUUGCAGACACAGCUUGGAUCCCGUGUUGCUAUGGCUCUGGUGUAGGCUGGCGGCUACAGCUCUGAUUCAACCCCCUAGCCUGGGAACCUCCAUGUACCUUGGGAAUGGCCCCAGAAAUGGUGAAAAAAAAAAAAAAAAAAAAAAGAAUACCUCUUUAAAUAUAGAAUGUUAAGCUUUAGAUGGCUGGAAAAGAGGAGGGGAAAGCACAAGCUGAAAGGGCUCCCCACUUACCAUAGGGGCAUGACCCAUAAGUACCCAUUUGAAGGACAGGCAGAUUUGGGUGGAAAGGGUCCCGGAUGAGUGAGGUGUAUUGGAUCCCACAGUCUGCCCACCUCUGUUCACAACGGAGGGAGCCCAACAUGCUAGUUUAUAUUAUGCAUCUGGAUAAGAGUGUAUUCGUGUUUUGUCUUUCUGACAAAUGGCAUAAAAUUACCUAAAUCUCACUCUAGGAGAGAAGUCAGCUACCAUCGCUUUCCUUCUGGUAGGGAAUUGAAGGUGUGUAAGGGGAGAGUGAGGUUUAUAGACUAAAGAAGGGACCCUCAUGACAGCAUUUGAUUGUUGAGUGAGCCACUGGGAAGGUGGGGGAGGCUUUUGUUUGUUUCUUUCUUUCUUUCUUUCUUUCUUUUUAGGGCUGCACCCAUCGCAUAUAGAGGUUCCCAGGCUAGAGGUUGAAUGGGAGCUACAGCUGCCAGCCUACACCACAGCCACAGCAACACUGGAUCCAAGCUGCAUCUGCGACCUAUACCACAGCUCAUGGCAAUGCUAGAUCCUUAACCCACUGAGCAAGACCAGGAAUCAAACCCUCGUCCUCAUGGAUGCUAGUUGGGUUUGUUACUGCUGAGCCACAAUGGGAACUCUCCGGGGGAGGUUCUCUGAUUGACUUUCAAGUAGAACUGUCAGUCUUUGAUGGGUUCAAUAUCUACUGGUACAUACUAAGGAGAUUUCCAGGCCGAGGAGGGUCAUAGUGGUUUCCUGUUUCAACUAGAAAGAUAUCUGGUCUUCAGCUUCAGGGUCAGAACCUUGCAUAAGCAUUUCUUCCAUUCGCUAAAUAUUACAAUAGAAAUGUAGUCCAAAUCAAUGUUUUAUAUGUAUUUACAGCUAUUUGUAUAAAUCCAUCACAUUGAAGACAGAUUAAGACUUGUCAUCAAUUUCCUUAGGGGAGAAUGAAAGUGAAAAGGAGAAAUACAAGCAUUGGAUGAAUGCUGCGCUGGAAAGAGGAACCAAAGCCCCUGCUAAGAGCCCGACUUGGUCAGACACCAGAUGGCCCCAGGAUGCCUUUGUUUGGCAGCAGCACUGCUGAUUCCCAGAUCCCCAGAGGCACCAGUUUCCGAAAGUAAUGCAAAUCACUGGAAGCUUGGCCAUGUAGAAGCGUGAGAACUGGAUGAAACAGGAAGAUCUGGAUUCUGGUAAGAAUUCAUCGUCAUCCGGGAGUGGAACCUCCAGCAAGUCACUUGAUCCCUCCAUCCUCUCCCCAAACAAGCUCUUCUUAUUCACUCACCAAUUAUUUACUGAGGCGCCUCACUGCCCUCGGCUCAUGCUGGAAUGCUGUGACCCUGUGCUAUUUUACAGACUUGCUAUGAGUGUGUUAUUUUGCAGACUUGUACUCCAUUUAAUGUAUACCACCAUUUCCAUCAUUCUGCAACAGAAUUAUGUAGAAUUCUCAAGAUUUGUUUGUUUGUUUGUUUUUUGCUUUUUAGGGCUGCACCUGCAGCAUAUGAAAGUUUCAGGCUAGGGGUCAAAUCAAAGCUGCAGUUGUCAGCUUGCGCCACAGCCAUAGCAACCUACACCACAGCUCACGGCAACGCUGGAUCCUUAACCCACUGAGCGAGGCCAGGGAUUGAACCCACGUCUUCAUGGAUCCUAGUUGGCUUCUUUACCGCUGAGCCACGACAGGAACUGCUAGAAUUCUCAAGCUUUAAGAGUGGAGUAAAACCUUUGUAAUCUAGGUAUUGAGAGCUCUAGAAAUAAGAGAAAGUUAGUGGUCCUCGUAAGGGACUAGGGUAAAGGAUAAACAGAGGAAAGAAUGGGAGAUGGGCGGGAACCUAAUUCCUGUGGUCCAGAGCAUCUUGGAGGAGGGGGCAAAGGGGAGAAACCCUGAGCCAAAGCUGUGGGGAAAGUUGCAAUUCAUGGUGCCAAAUUCCUAAGCAUGAUUGUCUAAAUGCCUUAUUUUCCUCAAUGUACGAUUCAUUAUUCUUCUCAGGCAACCCCAGUCUGAACCAAACAAUGCUGAUAUGUUUGCUCUUACUACAGGAGAGGGUGAGAUUAAGCUCAACAACGUUGUCCUUGGAGAUUGAAUAUCUAAUGGUUAAGAUCACAGGUUUUUGACAGAUAUAGGGAACAAGAGCCAAAAUCAAUAGACACUGGUAUUUUGUUCCAGAAAAACUACACAGACUAAACAUGGUCAUAAAGGAUAUAAUAGUGUCAGGGAAUGUUAUUUUUCUACUUCUCAGAAGAAAUUUAGAUCCAUUGCUAGACACAGCCUUUAUUGUGAUUUUAACCUAUCAUCAUUUGAUUGUUUUUCUUCAUUGUACAGCAACGUGCUGGCCAAGAAAAUCGAAGGCCUCUCAGCAAGAAACAAUUGGAAAACAAACUAGUUGGAACUCGCUCACAUAAGGACAUACGUUCAUGUUCAAAUGCAAACACACACAGACAGGGAUAAAUGCCAUCGAAGGAAAAGAAACAUGAGGUAUUCCAUAAGGCAAACUGACUACUAAUCAAAAUUUAACUCUGAGGAGUUCCCGUUGUGGCUCAGUAAGUUAGGGACCUGACAUAGCAUCUGUGAGGAUUCAGAUCUGAUCUCCAGCUUCUCUCAUUGGGUUAAGGAUCCAGGGUUUCUGUGAGCUGCAGUGUAGGUGGCAGAUGCAGCUCAGAUCUGGUGUUGCUAUGGCCUCAGCUGCAGCUCUAGUUUGACUCCUGGGCCAGGAACUUGCUAUGCUGCAGGUGCAACUAUAAAAAGAAAAACAAAUUUCACUUUGAGACCAAAAAUACCUUUGGGCAACAGUUGGUGAGCAAAUUCCCUGUUAAUGAGAGUCCAAGGAGCCCAAUGUCAGGCUGUUUUAAAGGGCUCCCCUGUGCUCAAGUAUCUUAGGUAAAUAUGGGGCCGGCCAGGUAAAAGUGCUUUGUAAGUCAAAUUAGAGGGUGGUUGAUAGGAAUGUAGAAGGAAGUCAGAACUGAAGAUGUUUCUGGCCAGAGAGUUUGAUUCAUUAAAAGAACACUAAUAGCAACAUAAACUCAUGUGCCUUUACACACACAAAAAUAAUGUUUCCUGAUUCGUAACCCAUGUGGCUGAGAGGGUCUCUUCUUUGUGUUAAGAAGCUAGAAAAGCUCACUUGAGAUCAUCUUAAUGUUCACUUAAUUAAUAAUUGAGAUCCUAUUAAUCCAGAAAAGAGCCAUUUGAGGAUUUUUGCAGACAUUGCAGGUAUGGACUAGGGCUCUGUGUAUCUUCUCACAAUAUUGGAGGAUUUUAUGUGUACAAAGGCCUACUAGGAAUCUUCCGCCCUUGCCUCCUUCUCCCUCACACACCUACAGCUCUGCUUUCCCAAGUAAAAUAUUGUAGCACUAUCAUGCUUUACAGAUUAUACCUUACAUAUUCGGUAAUUAAAUAUGAAAAGUAGGGAGUUCCUGCUGUGGCUCAGUGGUAACAAACCCAACUAGUGUCCAUGAGGAUGCAGGUUUGAUCCCUGGCCUUGCUCAGUGGGGUUAAGGAUCUGGUGUUGCUGCAAGCUGAGGCAUAGGUAGCAGACACAGCUCAGAUCUGGCGCUGCUGUGGCGUAGGCCGGCAGGCAGCUACAACUCUGAUUCAACCCCUAGCCUGGGAAUUUCCAUACGCCACAGGAGCAGCCAUAAGAAGGAAAAACAAAAAAUCUGUGUUAAGACCUCAGGAAGUUUUAAGGUGUUGCUUCAUAGACCCUUUCAAGCAUACAAAGACCUGCAAACUAUAAGCUCAGACAGUAGCUUUGCAGAGACUAAGGCAGAGAAGGGCUAAAUGAGAUUUGUGGGUAUGGUUUUGCCUAAUGGAGUGGGUCAUAAAUUGAUUCUUAAGAAGCCUGCAAUGUUUUUUCCUUAAAGAACUAUGAUGAACUUAAAUCAUAAGGGACAUCAGGCCUUCGAAUUCCCAAAGGGCAGGAAGCAGUCUAAGAGAGCAACUCAGCUGCAAAGAUGGGCUACUUUUAGUGGAAAAGGAAAAGUGCCCAAAGGGUAGACUCAAGAGCAGAUAUGGUGAAUGACUUCCAAGAAACAGAACUGAGUCCUCAUCAGGGAACUGGCAGCACACACUCAGGAGGAUUGCAGAACUGCUGUGAGCCAGGGACUACUCUGGGCUCCCCACUUUUCUCCCUUUUGAGCCUAAGUGUCUAUACCUUGACCCACUGCUGUAUUUUGGGUAUGGUGGGGAGAUGGCUUGUCUCUUGAGUCACAGGUGUUCAGAUUGGGUGGAGCUACCCUAGGGGAUAGUAGCCAGGGAGCCUCAGCCACAUGCUACCAUAGGAUCUGGAAGCAUGGAUCGAUGUCGGGAGACAUGUUUCUACAAUAUUUUCUUAGCCACUCUGUUUCUAUUUUCUUUGCUAAAACCUCCAUCUUGUCCUGCCUUACUUUACCCCAUCUUCCUGCUGGAAAAACAGUCACAGUGCUGGUAAAUAAAUUAAGCUUAAGAACAAAGACCUAAAGGCAUAAGUUAUUCUUAGGGUCAGCUGAAUGAGGACAGGGAUGCCGGACCUGUGCAGAUGGGCACGCCUGUGCAGAUGGGCAGGGCGUCUGCACAACAUAUGUCCUAUCAAAAUAAGAGAAAGAGGAACCUCAUGGCCCCAAGUGGUUUAUGAAUGGUCAUUAGCAGAAUAUGCAUCAGCAAGGAGAACCAAGGUGCAAACCUAGGCACCCCAGGUUGCCGCAGAUAGACAUGCCCUUUGUGGAAGCACAAUGGUGAUUCUUGAGAUGCUAUGCACAGAUAGCCAAGCUUCCCCAAAUGCUAAUGAUUGUUAAAUGCCUAAAGGUCAGAAUAAAAGCUUAAUCAUCUACCAGCUGUGUGACUUCUAAAAUAAUAAAAGAACUUCUAAAAUAAUACAAAAAACUAUAUCCUACACCUAUAACCCCCUCCUCACUUGACGUCAUCCUAAAGAGCACAGUAAAAGCAGUGUGGUUUCUUGAGGCAGCACUCUUGGUCCCUGAGACCUUGAGUCCCCCAGUUCCCACCUUUACUUAAGAUAAAUGUCUCUGUAUCUUGUUUUAUGUUAACUUUUCCUUAAGUUUCACGGCACCCGUUCUUCCGCCCUCACCUGCUGAGCUGUCUCGGCAGAUGGAGAGGAGGGGGAGUGAGUAUAUCUUACAUGUAGGGGGAAAUGCAAAGAAUUCAUGUCCCAUGGGCCACCUGUGAAGUCUUAAAACAUGCCUGUGAAUUCGUUGAUGUUCUUCCCAACAAAAGAUAGAGCCCAAUUCCCCUUCCCUUGAAAGGGGCUUGCUUCUAACAAAUAGAAUAUGGCAGAAGGGAUCCUGUUUGACUUCUCAGACAAGCUCACAAAAGGGGAGGCAGUUUUGCCUUGUUUCUUUUCUCUUGCCAGGUUUGCUUUGGAAUCCACUGACCCCUGUGGGAGGUGGGCCAGCAGCCACCAGGGAGGGCAGGGUGGAGGUGUUCUGGCCACAGUCCAGCUGCGGUCCCAGCCCAGGGCCACUCUUACCCGGCAACCUGUGAGUAGGAAGGUGAGUUUUCAGAUGUGGUCCCAGCGCAGAGAUGCCACGGGGAGCAAAGACAAACUGUCCUUGCCAACCCCAGCCAAAUUAUAAAUUCAUGAGGAAAAUGAAUGUAAUCAUUGAUUUAAGGCACUACUUUUUGGAGUGGUUUGUUAUGUGGCAACAGAUUAACUGGAUGUUGAUGUGCAAAUACCUGCUAGAAAUAUCCCCAUAUGCAAAUGCAACCUUGUAACAGUCACAAGAUUUUAGGCAUUAUAAAUUAUAAUUUCUUUAUGGUUCCCAGAUUUAUCACUUACUAAUUGUGGGACCUUUAGUAAGUCAGUCUCUUGAACUUCAGCGUCUGCAACUAUAAAAUGGAGAUGAAAGUACUUGUCUUAAAAAAAAUGAUUUAUGUUGUGAGAUAACGGAUGUUAGCUAAAAAAAAGUCAUUUAUGAAUAUUAUCUAGCAACGAGCAAAAGGAUGAUGUAUUGGAUUCACAUGAUUACAAAGAUAAAAAUGUACAGAAAUAGAUGGAUUAGGUUAGUGGAAUUAAAAAUAUUUUUUUCCUUCUAUUUUCCAGAUUUCCUUAAAAUGAUUUACUUUAGUAAUAAAAAAUUAAAAAGUGUUCCCCAAAAUCCCAUUGCACACUCCCAGCCCAAACCCAGGGAAUAAGUCAAUGGUUAUUUCUUCUCAGUCUCCCUGCAGGUUAAACCAGGUAAAUGGUUUGGAAGAGAAACAGUGAUGAAACAGCUUCCUAUCUCUUGGAAUCUGGGGGUCAAUACAGGAUUGACCCCAGAACCCAGAUUACUUGCCUCCCCAGCUAGCACACUAUUUCUUCCACCUGUAACCUCACAGUACUAGUUUUCACCUGUAUAGGCUAAGCCACACGAAAUGCCUUUAUUUAAAUAACUGGAAGUCUCAGCCAUCUGAUCUUAGGAGGCAUAUAAUCCAGUGAUUAGCAGAGUCAGUCAAAAUGCAUGCAUUGGAAACCUGCCUCCAGCACGUAUUAUCUGGGGUUUUUGUAGAUGUGAAUAAUGAUACUGGGGGGAGAUCAUCCUGGAUUACAAGGGUGGACCCUCUAUCCAAAGACACAGACACACGCAGGUCAGGGGAAGAGAGAAGUUAUGUAGCCACAAACCAGGCAAAGUCUGGAGCCACAGAAGCAGGGAGAAGUGGGAACGGAGUCUCUCUUAGAUCCCAGAGGAAGGACAGCCCUGAGGACAACUUCUAGCCCUCUGAACUGCGAUAAUACAUUUCUGUUGUUUUAAGACACCAAGUUUGUGAUGAUUCAUUAUGGCAGCCCUACGAAUAUAAUGCAGUGGAAGAAUCUUGCAAAUCACAAGGAUGAAGGGAAAAAAUUCAAAUGACAAGAAAAAAACCAUUUAAAGCUUUAAAAACAUGUAAUGGAUACUUUGUAUUAUUUAUAGAUAUAUACAUAUUGACAAAAAGCAUAAAGAAAAUGGGAGGGAAUUCCCUGGUGGUCUCAUGGUUAGGAUUUGGUGCUUUCACCACUGCAGCCUAGGUUCAAUCCCCAGUCUGGGAACUGAGAUCCCACACCAACCCACUACACACUGUGGC
rnacentral:tRNA from 1 species